AUUGAACGCUGGCGGCAGGCCUAACACAUGCAAGUCGAACGAGUGGCGGACGGGUGAGUAGUGUCUGGGAAACUGCCUGAUGGAGGGGGAUAACUACUGGAAACGGUAGCUAAUACCGCAUACCAUCGGAUGUGCCCAGAGGGGAUUAGCUAGUAGGUGGGGUAAAGGCUCACCAAGGCGACGAUCCCUAGCUGGUCUGAGAGGAUGACCAGCCACACUGGAACUGAGACACGGUCCAGACUCCUACGGGAGGCAGCAGUGGGGAAUAUUGCGCAAUGGGCGCAAGCCUGAUGCAGCAAUGCCGCGUGUAUGAAGAAGGCUUUCGGGUUGUAAAGUACUGUCAUCGGGGAGGCGUUAUCCAAAGAGGAAGCACCGGCUAACUCCGUGCCAGCAGCCGCGGUAAUUC
rnacentral:rRNA from 1 species